GAGAUAUGAUGAGAGAAAUUUUGGUCCGUGUUUCUGAUUAACCGUGACCGAUAACCCCAAUAAUAGCACACUCUGAUCUC